CAGCUUGAUGUCAUCCAUCUCCCCAGUGACAGACAUUAGAAGGCCCUCCUGGCUCCUCAACCGGAAGUGCACCUGUCGCUGCUCAGGUUUGAUGUCUCUUCAUCUCCUUCAUCUCCAAAACAGAACACGUCCCCAUCGAUCUCCAGACAGGAUCCCUCAAAGCCAGGCCGCUCAUACAGCACAGCCUGAGGAGACCAAGGCCAAAGGUCAAAGCAACAUUUAUAGCAGAGUGGACACUCACCCAUACAGCCAGUCGGAUGGAGCCGAUGACCAUUGGUAUGUCGACAUGGGGGUGUGAACCUGGUGGCCCUGCAUCUGCCCAGACAUUGGUCAGCUCAAUAGGCCCCUCCUCUAGGGCAAUGGAACGCCCCUCGAACCCAGGCCUCUCAUAAAGCACCCAGCUGUAAAGACAGAUAGGAGCAGGUAAACAAACACAUAAAAUAUGAAUCAUAGAAAUAGACUAAUUGGAACAAUAUGAUUAUCUCUUUCUCUUAAUUGAUGUAUUAUUUGACAUGUAUUUGAUUACUGUUGUAUUGAUUAUGAUCUGUAUUAAACAUAUUCAUGUGAGUGGGGAAACGCUGACAGAGGCAUUCCCCUGGAGAGGGGAAACCGGAGUUAACCAGCUAUUCCUUGUCUAAAAUCCAUGUUUGGUAAUCAAGUCUAUAAUUGCAUCUGUAAUUAAAUGUAAUUGCUGAUGAUGUUUAUACCUCUUAAGCAGACCUUUGACCCGUUAUAAGUGCUGAUGUGAUACUUACUUGUAAUCUGUACGGCUAGUUGCCAAGACCACUGUGCCUUAUUUGUAGGUUCCUACAAGAUUUAGUGACAUUGUCGACAGAACAGUUGUUCCUGAUAGUGGCUAUGUAGACCUCCUUUAUUCUAACUGCAGAAAUGCAUACAAGGCACUCCCUCGUCCUCUCUUUGGCAAAUCUGACCAUGACUCAAUUCUCUAGCUUCCUGUUUACAAACGAAAGCUCAAAUGGGAAGUACCAGUGAUAUGCCCAUUACGGAAGUGGUCGGAUGAAGCAGACGCAAGGCUCCAAGACUGUUUUGCUAGUACAGACUGGGAUAUGUUCCAGGAUUCAUCCGAUAACAUUGAGGAUACCACAACAGUCACGGGCUUCAUCAAUAGGUACAUAGAUAAUGUCAUCCCCACAGUGACUAUAAGAAUGAAUCCUAACCAGUGCUUAAUUUGUACAUUUGGAGAAGCCGGAACAAAAAGUGAGCCAGAGAGCAGGGUUACCCGGGGUGAUCUGAUGUACCAAAAAGCAUGAAAAAAAACCUCCUUUAUAACAAAGCCUUGCAUGCAUUAUCUUGCUUUUGUGUACUGGCAUAGAUCAGUAGAGGCACUUGCAGAAGUUGCACACAAUGGGGAAUUUUUUUUGUAGCCUAAGUGGCCCUUAUAAACGCAUUUCAUGCAAUUCUAUUUCAUUUUAGAAUACCUCACAAAUGAUCAAAAUAAUAGGCUACUUUGACACUGACAAACUGAGAAACUGAGAUGAAUAAAAACGACCUUGACUUCAAUCCAUCACUGGCCUAGGCCUAGGUGUGUGUAACUGGAUGGAAGAAAGGGGGAAGGAGGAAAUUCUAGUCCUAAAAAAACUUUCUAGUUUCACUGACUCACCCAAUAAUGCUCAGCUCAGUCACCGGCGACGGCCAAUACGCUCGUGCCAAAAGCUUAUCUCUCUCUUAUUUUACUUGGUAAAACAAUGCUGUUCGCUCAAUAGGCCUAUUUGGAAGUUGAUAACUUGGUAGACUACAGACAGAUUAGCCUUCUUUUCAGCAGGAUCCCUUUGCUUUCCAAGCUGUAUUUCUUCUUUUCAGCAGGAUCCCUUUGCUUUCCAAGCUGUAUUUCUUCUUCUCAGCAGGAUCCCUUUGCUUCCAAGCUGUAUUUCUUCUUUUCAGCAGGAUCCCUUUACUUUCCAAGCUGUAUUUCUUCUUUUCAGCAGGAUCCCUUUGCUUUCCAAGCUGUAUUUCUUCUUUUCAGCAGGAUCCCUUCGCUUUCCAAGCUGUAUUUUCCGGCGGUUGUAUUUGAAAUAUUGUGAAAGGCCUGUUUUAGCUUCAUGCUGUUCACUGACAAGUUUGAAGCGUGUUCCUGACUGUAGGCAUGCCUCGUGAUUGGGCUACACACAAUCCACAGCUAGGCAAUUUUGCUUUUUGAUAGGCAGUCAUUGUAAAUAAGAAUGUGUUCUUAACUGACUUGCCUAGUUAAAUAAAGGUCAAAAAACAAAACAGGGCUGUUGUGGACAGGUCGAGAGCUUUAAGUUCCUUGGCGUCCACAUCACUAAGGACUUAACAUGGUCCACACACACCCGCACAGUCGUAAAGAUGACACGGCAGCGCCUCUUCCCCCUCAGGAGGCUGAAUAGAUUUGGAAUGGGCCCUCAGAUCCUCAAAACGUUCUACAGCUGCACUAUCGAGAGCAUCUUCAGUGGCUGCAUCACUGGUUGGUAUGGCAAUUGCACCGCCGUUGACCGCAAAGCACUACAAAGGGUGGUGCGGACAGCCCAGUACAUCACUGGGGCCGAGCUCCGUGCCAUUCAGGACCUUUAUAUCAGGCGGUGUUAGAGGAAUGCCCGAAAAAUUGCCAAAGACUCCAGCCACCCAAGUCUCUGCCUGGCCGGUUCCCCUCUCCACUGGGAUUCUCUGCCUCUAACCCUAUUACAGGGGCUGAGUCACUGGCUUACUGGUGCUCUUCCAUGCCGUCCCUAGGAGGGGUGCGUCACUUGAGUGGGUUGAGUCAACAACCCCUUGGGUUGUGCCGUGGCGGAGAUCUUUGUGGGCUAUACUCGGCCUUGUCUCAGGAUGGUAAGUUGGUGGUUGAAGAUAUCCCUCCAGUGGUAUGGGGGCUGUGCUUUGGCAAAGUGGGUGGGGUUAUAUCCUGCCUGUUUGGCCCUGUCCGGGGGUAUCAUCGGAUGGGGCCACAGUGUCUCCUGACCCCUCCUGUCUCAGCCUCCAGUAUUUAUGCUGCAGUAGUUCUCCUGUCUUAUCCGGUGUCCUGUGUGAAUUUAAGUAUGCUCUCUCUAAUUCUCUCUUUCUUUCUCACUCUCGGAGGACCUGAGCCCUAGGACCAUGCCUCAGGACUACCUGGCAUGAUGGCUCCUUGCUCUCCCCAGUCCACCUGGCCGUGCUGCUGCUCCAGUUUCAACUGUUCUGCCUGCGGCUAUGGAACCCUGACCUGUUCACCGGACGUGCUACCUGUCCCAGACCUGCUGUUUUCAACUCUCUAGAGACAGCAGGAGCGGUAGAGAUACUCUUAUUGAUCAGCUAUGAAAAGCCAACUGACAUUUACUCCUGAGGUGCUGACUUGUUGCACCCUCGACAACUACUGUGAUUAUUAUUAUUAUUUGACCAUGCUGGUCAUUUAUGAACAUUUGAACAUCUUGGCCAUGUUCUGUUAUAAUCUCCACCCGGCACAGCCAGAAGAGGACUGACCUGGUUCCUCUCUAGGUUUCUUCCUAGGUUUUGGCCUUUCUAGGGAGUUUUUCCUAGCCACCGUGUUUCUACACCUGCAUUGCUUGCUAUUUGGGGUUUUAGGCUGGGUUUCUGUACAGCACUUUGAUAUAUCAGCUGAUGUAAGAAGGGCUAUAUAAAUACAUUUGAUUUGAUAGACUGUUCACUCUGCUACCGUCCAGCAAAUGGUACCGGAGCAUCGGCUCUCGGACCAAUAGGAUCCGAGACAGCUUCUUCCCCCAAGCCACUGCUAAAUAGUAAACUAAUGCGCUGAUCCUACACACACUCACUAGACUAUAUAUAUAUACACUCACUAGACUAUAUAUACACACCAUAUCAUUCACACACACUACAUUGGCACUCCCACACUUUGGUACUGCUACUCUGUUCUUUUCUAAAUGUUACUCUUAUUAUUAUUAUCUAUCCUGAUAUCUAGGUCACUUCACCCUGCCUUCAUGUAUAUAUUUUUUUAUUUCUUUAUCCUUUAUUUAACUAGGCAAGUCAGUUAAGAACAAAUUCUUAUUUACAAAGAUGACCCCGGGUCAAUUGCGUACCACCAUAUGGGACUCCCAAUCACAGCCGGAUGUGAUGCAGCCUGGAUUCAAACCAGGUACUGCAGUGACUCUCUUGCACUGAGAUACAGUGUCUUAGAUCAAUGCGCCACUCGGGAGCCCACAUACAGUGCCUUCGGAAAGUAUUCAGACCCAUUCACUUUUUCCACAUUUUGUUACGUUACAGCCUUAUUCUAAAAUAGAUUAAAUAAAUAAAUAAAUCCUCAGCAAUCUACACACAAUACCGCAUAAUGACAAAGUGGAAACGUUUGCACAUUUAUUCAAACUAAAAACCAGAAAUACCUUAUAUACAUAUGUUUUCAGACCCUUUGCUGUGAGACUCGAAAUUGAGCUCAGGUGUGUCCUGUUUCCAUUGAUAAACUUUAAUUGUUUCUACAACUUGACUGGAGUCAACCUGUGGUAAAUUAAUUUGAUUGGACAUGAUUUGCAAAGGCACACACCUGUCUAUAUAAGGUCCCACAGUUGACAGUGCAUGUCAGAGCAAAAACCAAGCCAUGAGAUCAAAGGAAUUGUCUGUAGAGCUCUGAGACAGGAUUGUGGUGAGGCACAGAUCUGGGGAAGGGUACCAAAACAGUUCUGCAACAUUGAAGGUCCCCAAGAACACAGUGGCCUCCAUCAUUCUUAAUUCCAUCAUUUCUGCAGCACUCCACCAAUCAGGCCUUUAUGGUAGAGUGGCCAGACGGAAGCCACUCCUCAGUAAAAGGCACAUGACAGCAUGCUUGGAGUUUGCCAAAAGGUUCUCUGGUCUGAUGAAACCAAGAUUUAACUCUUUGGCCUGAAUCCCAAGCGUCGCGUCUGGAGGAAACCUGACACCAUCCAUACGGUGAAGCAUGGUGGUGGCAGCAUCAUGCUGUGAGGAGUUUUUUCAGCGGCAGGGACUGUAAGACUAGUCGAGAUCGAGGCAAAGGUGAACAGCGUAAAGUACAGAGAGAUCCUUGAUGAAAACCUGCUCCAGAGCGCUCAGGACCUCAGACUGGGGUGAAGGUUGACCUUCCAACAGGACAACAACCCUAAGCACACAGCCAAGAUAAGGCAGGAGUGGCUUCGGAACAAGUCUCUGAAUGUCCUUGAGUGGCCCAGCCAGAGCCCAGACUUGAACGAGGUCGAACAUGUCUGGCGAGACCUGAAAAUAGCUGUGCAGCAACGCUCCCCAUCCAACCUGACAGAGCUUGAGAGGAUCUGCAGAGAAGAAUUUUAGAAACUCCCCAAAAACAGGUGUGCCAAGCUUGUAGCGUCAUACCCAAGGCUGUAAUCGCUGUCAAAGGUGUUUAAACAAAGUACUGAGUAAAGUGUCUGAAUACUUAUGUAAAUGUGAUAUUUCAGUUCUUUAUUUUAAAUAAAUUAGCAAAUAUAUAUAAAAAACAGCUUUUGCUUUGUCAUUAUGGGGUAUUGUGUGUAGAUAGAUGAGAAAAACAACAACAAUUUAAUCAAUUUUAGAAUAAGGCUGUAACCUAACAAAAUGUGGGGAAAAUCAAGGGGUCUGAAUACUUUCCGAAGGCGCUGUAGCUCAUACCUCUACACAUUGAUCUGGUACUGUUACUCCCUGUAUAUAACUCCAUUCUUGUGUAUUUUAUUUUAUUCCUCGUGUAAGUUAUUUUAUUUUGUAUAUAUAUUUUUUUAACUCUGCAUUGUUGGGAAUGGUACAUAAGCAAGCAUUUCACUGUAAAGUCUACACCAGUUGUAUUUUCUUGCAUGUAAUAAAUACAAUUUAUUUGA